rnacentral:rRNA from 1 species
AACGAACGCUGGCGGCAUGCCUAACACAUGCAAGUCGAACGAGACCUUCGGGUCGAGUGGCGCACGGGUGCGUAACGCGUGGGAACCUGCCCUUAGGUUCGGAAUAACUCCCCGAAAGGGGUGGUAAUACCGGAUAAUGUCUUCGGACCAAAGAUUUAUAGCCUUUGGAUGGGGCCGCGUUGGAUUAGCUAGGUGGUAGGGUAAAAGCCUACCAAGGCGACGAUCCAUAGCUGGUCUGAGAGGAUGAUCAGCCACACUGGGACUGAGACACGGCCCAGACUCCUACGGGAGGCAGCAGUGGGGAAUAUUGGACAAUGGGCGCAAGCCUGAUCCAGCAAUGCCGCGUGAGUGAUGAAGGCCUUAGGGUUGUAAAGCUAUUUUACCCGGGAUGAUAAUGACAGUACCGGGAGAAUAAGCUCCGGCUAACUCCGUG